ensembl:lncRNA
GGCAGCAUGUGCCCAGCACAAUGCCCCUCUCUGACGUCUGUGGGCAAAUCUCCCCAGCCUGCAACUCACAGAUCUGUGCCUAGGGCUCAGCAUGAGAUCUCACUGCUUCAAAUCGAUCUCUUCUAAAGUUUUUCUUUAAAAAAAAAAACAAAACCGUAUUGAUUGAUUGAUUUGCUUUUCUCUUUUGGCUGCAUCAGGGCAUAUGGAAGUUCCUGGGCCAGGGAUGGAGUCUGAGCCACAGCUGCCAUCUAUGUCACAGCUGUGGCAGCACCGGAUCCUUAGCCCACCGUGCUGGGCCGGGAAUUGACACAGCGCCUCCAGAGACAAGCUGGACCAUGAACCCACUGCACCGCAGCAGGAACGCCUAGAGUUUUUCUUAUUCAGCUCUUUUCAUCGACAUCAAAGCCUUAGGGCAUUUGGUGGGAGAUGACAGUAUGCCUUAAUUAGCAAAGGAGAGAAUCAAUCCAAAGAAGAAUGGGACCUUAAAUAGCACACACAACAAGUCCAAGGAAAAAAGGUACGCAGACUCUCCGCCACCCCCUACCUUUGCAUGAAUGAAGAUGUAUCAGCCUAAAGUCAGUCUGGAGACUUGAGUUGAGUCAGUUGCCAGUGGCCAGAACUUCCACCCAGGAACACAAAGUUCCUCCUUGCUUAGCAGGAGCUACUGCUCAUGUCAAAGAAAAUUCAGGACUUCUGGGUCACCCCCAGAUCCCCCAGCUUCCCAAGGAAGGAGAGACCAGAUAAGAGAGCUGUGGGCCCGCUGCUGCAGACACUCCACUCAGACACCUUCACAGGUAGGGGGGGUAGCUCUUGAGGCGAGAGCACUGACUUGGGGCUUUCGCGUGGAUGAGUUCCCUGCUCAGGCAGUGUCCACAAUGUUCCUGUGUUUGGGAGACAGGGAUUAUUGCCUGUUAUUCACAUGAGAAAAUCGAGAGGUGACACGAGCUGUCUCAAGUGCCCUAGGUAAAAGGGACAGAGAUCCCUGACUCUUAACCACUGCUUUCCCCUGUAACAUUCCCAAAGCCCAGGAUCCCAAAGUGAGGGAGGGGGUGGCAGCAGUUCUGUGUCUCUGUGCCCCCCAGCCAUCUUUUCAUU